rnacentral:rRNA from 1 species
CUCUGAAUGUACCGGUUCCCGUUAGAUCACCGAAGUCAAGCAUCAUUGGGCGCGGUCAGUAAUUGGGUGACCAACUGGGAACACUGCGUGCCGUU